AUUCCAGCUCCAAUAGCGUAUAUUAAAGUUGUUGCAGUUAAAAAGCCCGUAGUUGAAUUUUGGGUUUGACUGGGUGGUCUGGCCGAAAGGUCAGUACUGCUCUGGUUGAAUUCUGACUUUCUGGGGAAUCAGUGUGCUACUUAUUUAGUGCAUUGGGGAUCCAGGACUUUUACUUUGAAAAAAUUAGAGUGUUUAAAGCAGGCAUACGCUUGAAUACAUUAGCAUGGAAUAAUAGAAUAGGACUUUGGUUCUAUUUUGUUGGUUUCUAGGACCAAAGUAAUGAUUAAUAGGGACAGUUGGGGGCAUUAGUAUUUAAUUGUCAGAGGUGAAAUUCUUGGAUUUAUUAAAGACUAACUUCUGCGAAAGCAUUUGCCAAGGAUGUUUUCAUUA
rnacentral:rRNA from 1 species